UUCUGACUUGGAUCCGUUCUUGCCUAUAAUGCAUUGAAAAAUCAUUUGUUUGCCUUCGUUAAGGCUUGAGAAGCAUGUAUCUCAUUUAUAAUACGCUUUGGCAUUUGGUCGAUGAUAUUUAUUGCAUCCUUCAUCACUGAUCUUGAGGAGAAGAUUCAUUUGUGCAUUUCUAUAUUUGUUGUGUAAAUCUGUUAAUAUUUAAUGUUUUAGGGAUUUCAGGAGAGUGGAGGCUUGAGAAGCAUGUAUCUCAUUUAUAAUACGCUUUGGCAUUUGGUCGAUGAUAUUUAUUGCAUCCUUCAUCACUGAUCUUGAGGAGAAGAUUCAUUUGUGCAUUUCUAUAUUCGUUGUGUAAAUCUGUUGAUAUUUAAUGUUUUAGGGAUUUCAGGAGAGUGGAGACCUGGAAGAGCACUUUCAGGCGUUAUUGGCCAUGACAAUAAAUGACCAAAAAGAGCACUUUCAAUAGUCCAGGAAGACAACAACAACGAGAAAAAUGCAAUGAUGCAUCAUGCUGAUAUUGAUGAAAAGCUAUGAUUUUGUGCUCCUGUUUGUUAUUAUGUCAAUGAGAAACCAAUAGUUCUUUUCUUCAGGAUUCGUGUUUUAAUUGGUGAGGGAUAAACAAAUUUUCCUAUUCAAGUGGAAGCUCCCAGUAUAUGAUGGAUGUGGGAGUUAUUUUUACAUUCACUGUUCGGUGCUUCUCUUUAUGUAAUGUUUUAU
rnacentral:lncRNA from 1 species